CCAUGCGGAUAUAGUUUUCAUAUAAUUCAUUCUCUUGACCAAAAUGUUCAUAGGAUACCUCAAAGUUCAACUAUCAACUCUGAUCAGGUUGUCCACAUUGUAUUUCAAAAUAUCAAAUCCAUCUGAUGGAUUAUCCUGGCCAAGAUUUUGCUAAACUGAAAUACAGCGACUCAUUCUUCUCCAACUCUUGGAGUGGUCAAUCCCAUCUCGAUCACACUCUGACUUCGCAAGUACUUGACUAUGCCC
rnacentral:lncRNA from 1 species